rnacentral:rRNA from 1 species
UACGUAGGCAGCGAGCGUUGUUCGGAGUUACUGGGCGUAAAGGGUGUGUAGGCGGUUGCUUAAGUUUGGUGUGAAAUCUCCCGGCUCAACCGGGAGGGUGCGCCGAAUACUGAGGGACUCGAGUGCGGGAGAGGAAAGUGGAAUUCCUGGUGUAGCGGUGAAAUGCGUAGAUAUCAGGAGGAACACCGGUGGUGUAGACGGCUUUCUGGACCGUAACUGACGCUGAGACACGAAAGCGUGGGUAGCAAACAGG